UGGUGCUUGGGCCGGUGCAGGAGAUACUCGUGGUGGUGAUGCUGGUGGUGGUGGCACUGCUGGUGGUUGCACUGGAGCUGUGGUUGGAGGAGUUUGGGGUGGUUGUGGUGGUGGAAUUUGAGGAGGUGGGACUGUUGGGCUUGUAGCUGGUGCAACUUUUGGAGCUGGGGUUGUUACAGGUGGGGGCGUGGUUGCAGGUGGCUGUGCUGGUGCUGUUGGUGUGGUAGAAGGUGGGGGUGUUGUGGUUGGUGGAGGUGUUGCAGUUGAAGGCGGAGGUGUUGCUGUUGGAGGUGGUGGUGAAGUUGAAGGUGGAGUUAUGGUGGUUGGUGUAGUGGAAGGUGAGGCAGCCGGUCCCUGUGCAUUUGUAAUGGCUAGUUGAAAGCUGAGACAAGUCAAAAUGAGUGCCCA
rnacentral:lncRNA from 1 species